GAAGAGGGUGGUCUGUGACCCACAUGUGCUAGCAAGUGACAAAUCCAAAACGACUGACUGACCCCCUGGGCUGUUCUAAGCCAAGUUUAAGCCACCAUUGGUACAUGUGAGACACAGGAAGUGAUGUAAAGAACUGCCUUUAUAUUUCACGUCACUUCCUGUGAGAAGGGUUUUACAGACUUUGGCAGUGGGACUUGACUUGGUGGAGUGUGGGUCCUCAGCCUGCUUCCCUGAACGACCAUGUGAUCACACCUCUAGGCUCUCCCCCAACAUCUCCCAGGGAGGCACUGCCAGGAGGGAUGGGAACUGGAGCCGACCCUUUCUAUGACCACAAAGUCAGCAGGUGGUCUGGACACAGUCAAGCUAAUGGGAAAAGAAGCUUCUUCUCUUCUUCCAGAAGAAUAUCCCUCCUCUUUUCCUCAGCCUCACGCAGCAGCUCCUGUUUCUGGUACCAAACUUCAUCUUCAUCUUUCUGUCGCUGUAUUUCAGCUUCCAUUUCAUGGAUUGCCUGCC